AAUUUGCUCUAAACACAUAAGGAGCUGCAGCCACAACUUCUUCCAUGACAGCAGUGUACAUUUCAAGAAGCUAUAUAUUAAGCAGCUUCCAUCUUACAAAAGUGUCAGAAAAGUGUUUGGUUUCCAAGAGGAUCUGUCUGCAGAGGCGUGGAGAUUCCCCAGACAAAAUUCGGAUUUGUGGG